rnacentral:lncRNA from 1 species
GCAAUCUCCAGCUCCUGGGUUCAAGCGAUUCUCCUGCCUCAGCUUCCUGAGUAGCUGGGAUUACAGGCAUGUGCCACCAUGCCCAGCUGAUUUUUGUAUUUUUAGUAGAGACGCAGUUUUGCCAUGUUGGCCAGGCUGGUCUCGAACUCCUGACCUCAGGUGAUCUGCCCACCUUGGCCUCCCAAAGUGCUGGGAUGACAGGCGUGAGCCACCAUGCCCGGCC